rnacentral:rRNA from 1 species
GCAAGGUAUCAUGGGCGCACGGCGGAUGCCUUGGCAUCGGAAGUCGACGAAGGGCGCGGCAAGCCGCGAUAGGCCCGGGGGAGGCGCAAACGGCCCUCGAUCCCGGGAUUCCCGAAUGGGGGAACCCAGCCGCCGUCAUGGGCGGCUACCCGAUUGGAGACCAUCCUUUCGGGGGACAACCGGGGGAACUGAAACAUCUAAGUACCCCGAGGAGGAGAAAUCAACCGAGAUCGCGCGAGUAGCGGCGAGCGAAAGCGCGCGAGCCCAAACCUGCGACGGCGCCAAGGCUGGGGCCGUUGCCUCGCAGGUGUUGCGGGACGCAGAGCCCGGGGCCCCCAGGCCCCGGCCGCAGUCAGAAAACCACGUUCGAGCGGAACGGCAUGGGAAGGCCGGCCGCAGCGGGUGAGAGCCCCGUACGCGAAGGACGAGGACUGCGGUCUGCGAUCCAGAGUAGGGCCGGGCACGUGAAACCCGGUCCGAAGCAGGGGGGACCACCCUCCAAGGCUGAACACUCUCCGAUGACCGAUAGCGAACCAGUACCGCGAGGGAAAGGUGAAAAGCACCCCGAGAGGGGAGUGAAACAGCGCCUGAAACCGUGCGCCCCCAAGCAGCGGGAGCCGUUCCGACGACGGUGACCGCGUGCCUUUUGUAGAAUGAGCCUGCGAGUCGCGGCAUGCGGCGAGGUUAAGGGACACCGAGCCGCAGCGAAAGCGAGCCUGAACAGGGCGAUUUGAGUCGCAUGCCGCGGACGCGAAGCCGGGUGAGCUAUCCAUGGGCAGGGUGAAGCGGGGGUAAGACCCCGUGGAGGCCCGAACCCACUUCGGUUGAAAACGGAGGGGAUGACCCGCGGAUAGGGGUGAAAGGCCUAUCAAACCCGGAGAUAUCUCGUUCUCCCCGAAACAGCUUUAGGGCUGGCCCCGGGCAUUGACCAUCGGAGGUAGAGCACUGGACCGGCGAGGGGGCCUCACCGCCUACCGACCCAGACCAAACUCCGAAUGCCGAUGGUUUGGACCCCGGGAGUCAGAGCGCGUGGGCUAAGCUGCGCGCUCGAGAGGGAAACAGCCCAGACCGCCCGCCAAGGCCCCAAAGGCCGUGCUAAGUGGCAAAGGAUGUGCGCCCGCCCAGACAACCAGGAUGUUGGCUUAGAAGCAGCCAUGCAUUCAAAGAGUGCGUAACAGCUCACUGGUCGAGUGGGGGCGCGCCGACAAUGCGCGGGGCUCAAGCACGGCGCCGAAGCGGCGGAAUCAUUUAUUUGAUUGGUAGGGGAGCUUUCCAUGCCGGGCGAAGCCGGAGGCGCGAGCCCCGGUGGACGGCAUGGAAGUGAGGAUGCAGGCAUGAGUAGCGAGAGAGCGGCGAGAAACCGCUCCGCCGAAAACCCAAGGUUUCCUGGGCGAGGCUAAUCCCCCCAGGGUCAGCCGGGAGCUAAGGCGAGGCCGAGAGGCGCAGCCGAUGCACGACGGGCAGACAUUCCCGUGCCGGCGCGGGCGCGCUACGACCGAUGGGACGACGGGGAAGGAUACGCGAGCGGGGUUCUGGACGUCCCCGUGAAAGCGCGUAGGGAGGGGCCCAGGGAAAUCCGGUCCCCACACAUCCCGAGACGCGAGACGAGCCCCAUGGCGAAGUCGCGGAUUCCAUGCCUCCUAGAAAAAUCCCUAGGCAGCGCCCACGCCGCCCGUACCAAAACCGACACAGGUGGGUAGGAAGAGCAUUCCGAGGCGAUCGGGGCAACCAUGGUCAAGGAACUCGGCAUAAUCGUCCCGUAACUUAGGGAGAAGGGACGCCCCCCAGCGUGAACCGGCUCGCCCGGGAAGCGCCGGGGGGCCGCAGCGAAAGGGCCCAAGCGACUGUUUACCAAAAACACAGGACUCUGCCAAGCCGCGAGGCGAAGUAUAGGGUCUGACGCCUGCCCGGUGCCGGAAGGUCACGGGGAUCCGUUAGCCUUUGGCGAAGCGGUGAACCCAAGCCCCGGUAAACGGCGGCCGUAACUAUAACGGUCCUAAGGUAGCGAAAUUCCUUGUCGGGUAAGUUCCGACCUGCACGAACGGCGCAACGACUUGGGCGCUGUCUCGACCAUGGGCCCGGCGAAAUUGCAUUAUCCGUGAAGAUGCGGAUUCCCCGCGGAAGGACGGAAAGACCCCGUGAACCUUUACUGCAGCUUGGCAUUGGCCGCAGGCGCGGCGCGUAGAGGAUAGGCAGGAGGCUGCGAAGCCCGGGCGCCAGCCCGGG